UCGCAGCCAUACGGGCUGUGCUCCCCCAGCUGAACUGUAUCUGCAUUUGAACGGUGGGAGAAAAGACGCUAUAUGGCAAUGUGCUCCUCCCUCCACCCUGCCAACCUCAUCUGUCAGCCAUUAGUUAAUCAGGGCUGGUCGCACAGAGCAGAGAGCUGGCACCGUUCGUGGGACCAGAGGACAGCUUCACCUCUGAGAGCAAGAAGAGGGCAAGGACUCAGAGACCUCUGCUUCACCGAGGUACAGCUGGGCUGCUUCACUCAGCAGCAGCCACUCAGGACUGGCAGGCGUCAACCUCAAGAUGACCCCGCCCACUGCAUUACUGAGAACAGGUAAGCCAAUCGGACACAUGGAAACUGUUAGGCAUUUAAAAAAAACUCCACUUAAAUAUCUGUCACUCAGCCAAUGUGGCUAUCAAAGCAGCUAAUACUGAACAGUACCUCCCACAGAGAAGGUAGAUUCCACAAAACCAACAAAGAUCAAAACGGCUUUGUAGAGAUGCAUUUAUUUGCUCAAUAAUCACCCUAGCCUUAAGCACUGCAUGAAAACAUGUAUUACAGUGAAAACUGUAAUUACCCUACACAAGUCUUUUUGUUUGGUCAUAAAAGUGUGUUUUGAAAACAACGGUUUAUGGGGCCAAGAAAUCAAACGGACCUCAUAAAAACCAUAUCGAGAGUCUUGGCAACAUUUUGCCGGAUCAGUAGAAAAUAAUUCUGUAGUUCAUUAUUGCUUUGCAUGCUUGUUAAUUAUGAAUACGUUAUGCUAAAUAUUGAAUGAAAAUGUAUAAAAAAACUAAAUCUAUUGAAGGUUGAGCCGAGUUAGCGAUACACCUUGAGCGCUGAGAAAGAAUGCUCUAUGAAGUAUUAAGAAAAGGUGGUUGAAUACCAACAGAGACCACAAAAGAGUUUGUUUUAUUUUUCACAUAUUUAGUGAUUCUAAGUGAGACCAUAUCUUAUAAUGUGAGAGCCAAGGUCAAAUUCCAAUCACAUUGCAGCAGGCUUGCAAUGCAAGAUGAUGGUAAUACCAAGCAUAUGCUAUCUGCAGUUACAUAGACUUUUCAAAGGAGCUCAGUGUUGACCCGGAGCAAGAACAAACUUGCAAGUGUAGACUGUGAAGGGAAUUAUACCCUGCGCUACAAGUGUGUCAAGGCUGUGAGCUUACCACGCUAUGUAGUCAACCAUGCUCAAGCUGAAUGUCAAAUGAUCUGUACAACAAAUCAAGAGCAAGACGUAAUAGUGAGGAACUGAAUGCACUCUAAGAUAGUGCCGUGUCUAUUGUUAUAGCUUAAUCAGAAUCAGCGUGUCCUGUGGUGCAUAGAUUAAACUGCAAAUCAGAAACAAAGAAGAGAGGAAAAUAAAGGCUUAGAACAUUCAGGAUGCGUUGCUGCUCAUGGCUUUGUUUUGCAGGGAGGUUUCAAAGACAGAAGUCAAAACAACACAUGUUGUCAACAUGGGAACAGCUGGUAAGAGCGGCGUCAUGGGGGAGAGGAAUGUCAAAAGUCAUAGAUCUUUUAUCCAUCAAGCCAAAAUAGCUACCCAGACUUGUUUGAAACCACGCACAGGGGCAGUGUGAAAUUUAUAUAUGCAACCAACCUCACGCUAACCUUUACUAACUUUAACCAAUCUCACAACUUGCUUUGAACUAAAGAAACCAAAUGAUGUUUGUUUUUUUCAAUACAUGCAAAUAUAUCCACAAGAAAAAUACAUUUUUCUUUAGCUAAGAGUAAAGUACAGUAAAGUAAUGAAUUUCAGAUGUUACAAGUUGAUGUUACUACAUUAUUCAUCCAAGAUUGAAGUGAUUGUAUGAAAUAAUUUCCUGUCUCUGUCAAUAGAGCUCCGGACGGACAGUCAGCUGCAGCGCUCUUAUGAUUGGCUAAAACUAAACAGCAUAUUCUCCACAAAGUAUGCCAUAUUUAAAGAGUUAAAUAAACAGCCAGUGGAGUAGGCAUAUACAGAUACCUUAACAAAGUUCCCUUUUUAAGUCAACACCACUCAGAAAAGAUACACUAAGAAACCAUAAGUCAAAACGAAAUGACAAAACAGCCGAGUUUAUCCGUCUGUCUAAACAUUCCUCUGAGAGCUUUUUCCAUUACCGUGUCGUACUGAAACAUGUAGCGCUGCUCUCUACAUAGGUUUGAAGUGAUGAAGGACUUUAGGAAAUAUAGAAAAAAGCUAUUUCUUGAUGACAGAAUUUGAAAAAUACAGCAGUGCAGCCCUAAACUUAUAAAGUAGUGACCUUUGACACACAACAUUCAAGUCUAAGUCCCUCUUCCGGCGAAAUGUUACACAGCUGCUUUUCCAAUCCGUCAUAGCAACCAGCUUGCCACAGCUUGCAUACAGGGAAGUAUGGAACAUUUCCAAGAAGUGAAUGAUCCUGGUACAGGGGAAAAGAAGAUAACAUAUAAAGCAAGUGAUGGAACAGAAGUGUUUUCCAAAAUUGCUAUUGAUUUGAAUAUUUUAGUUUAUUUAAUUAUCUGAACAAAACAUGACAAUUUCCCCAAUUUUUCAAUGUCUUAUGCCAAGUAACGAAUCGAUUAAUCAGGAACUGUUAUUUGCAGCCACAAACACCCAAGGGUGGACUGAAGCUUGAAUGAUGGUGCAAAGUACAGAACAGAAACUCAAAUAGUACAAAACAAGUACAGCUUAUUCUCCUGCCCUCUACGGUACAUCUAAACCAUCCCAUAGUCAUGAAUGUUGAGGGUUAAAUAUGACUAUUAGCUCCGUUAGAGAGUUUGAACACCCAAUCUGUCACUGUCUCACCCCUAAUAGGGGAAAAAGGCUUCCUGACAUAAAUGUCGUGUCCCACAAACUCCAUUUCACUCCAUCAACUCGAUAGCAUCGACAGGCCCAAACAGGACCAGGCCCCGUCGAGUCUGACGUUAGAGUCAUGCGAGAAGAACAAAAGUGGAGUCUGAGAAGCGACUCCUAGAGGCUUAAAACCACUUUAUAAUACUUGACCGACAACUUGAGGAAAAGCAGGCGCACUCUACCUGUGUCAAAGUGAGGCCAUGUUCCCUAUCAUCAUCAGUCUGGGGUAGACCAACCUAAACGCUUCCAGACUUUCACGCCUCUCAUUUCUUCUUACUGCAUCUGCUCCCAAAAAAUAACAUCUAGCUCCUCUCUUAAUUUCUGCACAAACUCAUUUAGGUCCAGGUCAACUCUUAUUCUUUUCCAGAUGGGGCUUUCCUUUUACUGCAGAGAGAGCAUUAAUAUAAUCUUGUAACUGCUCUCUAAGCUACAAUAAAAUGUAUGGAUUUUUAAGUGCUGGCGAACAUGAUGUACUUUACAGUGGGUAAUGUAUUAACUUAUCUGCAUGUUUUUAGACUGCUGACCCCAAAAGAGGGUUCCAUUGCUAAUGUGAAAGCCGUGCUGUGAUCCAAACAUUUAUAAUCCUCAGAUAACAUCUCAGAGCAUCUGGUUUUCUGCCUCCCACGUGCUUGACUUUUAACCAGAAAAUCAUCAACUGAACUAUUUUGCUUUCUCUCAAAGGCAGAAUUGAAACAUUAACUCCCAGUUUAAAUUAAAGCCAUGACAAGAAGCAUGCUGGUGAGGACAAGUGGUGGUGGUGGGGGGGGGGACCUUCCACCACCGCUUCAAUUGCUAACACUCAACUGGCAUAUGGGCAAGAUCAGGAAACACGAGCCCAAUGAUGUCACGACCACCUGACCCCAGGAUGACAGGUUUGCAAAGUGUUCUUGUCCACUGCCCUCAGGCCAAAGUCAAGUAUGUCAAUGUUGUGCAUGUGGAUUUCAUUUGAAGCAGCAUGAUUAGUUCACUGACGCUCAACUGAGAUCCCCCACUCCAUGGGAAACCCACCCCGAACAGGAAACGGUAUGUUUUUGUUAGCAACAAACAGGCAUAAAUUACUACAAUCGUACCGUGGUUGCCAAUUUAUCACACACAGCCGUAUUGUUGCUGUUUGACAUCGACAUGUUUUUAAGGUAAUUACCAUUAGUUAAUGAUAUUUACAGUUUGUGUUGAAAUGUGUCUGCCAUCAUACAGUUUUGCAAUAAAUUUGAGAAUUGUUUUGUGUCUUUUCUUCUUUAUAUAUGAAAAAUGAGCUUUGACGACCUGUAUUUGAAGCUGUGUCUGCAUGAAGGUCCAGAGGGGAUUUGUUUAUAUUUUGAAGAAAUAAAUGACUUAUUUGCAUUAAAAAGAAUAAUUUUGACAUAAUUUGGGCUUUUUUCAACAUUUACUAUUAGCCUUAAUGAGGAAAUGAGUAUAAGAAAGCAAUGCACAUUUGAUUUGGUAAUAUUCUAAGGAUGGUGGAAUAUAUAAUAAUGAAUAAACCAUUUCCCUGGUUACAAGUAUUUCAGUUUUCUUCCAGGAAUGUUGAAUAAAGAACUACAAGUAAUGGUGUCUGUUGGGUAAGAGAUGUUUUAACUACUUUCCAAAGGGUAGACUGAACUUAAUGCAAUGAUAGAGAAUCCUUUUAGUGUUUUAAUGUGUGAGAUAUAGGAUGAUAUUGAUAGAAAAUUGAAAAAACGAAGGGUAAAAUAACCUGAUUUUUUAUUGAGGUGGUACUUGUGUGACAUAACUGGUGUAAAAGUGUGAUUAUUUAGCAUGGAGAGAUGUUAUGGAGAUACUACCAACAGAAGAGGCCUGUUACAGAAGGUAAGACACUCUCUGAAGCCAUGACAAAUAUUUAGAAAAAUGUAUGUCAAGAAACCCCAGGACCAUUUCAUCACCAUCUGGUCUCUCAAAGAGUCCAAAUAUUUGCCAUUGAGACAAUGUUUGAAUUGAUUUGUAAUAUUUAAAAUGGCAACAUGGCUUCCAGUCCUGUAUGAUAGUAGGUGCAUGUAUACAGCUGAUUUAAUAUCUGGCAGAUUUUAGUCUAAUGAUAUAGUUUAAUCUCAUGUAGACUUCACUGUUGCUUAAUAUAGAGCUGCAUUAUUACUGUGUGCUUCAGUGUAGCUCAUUUGAGGUUCCAUAUUGCAGAAUAAUGUGAUAUGGUCUCCUUUGAGUUUGUUAAAGCCUACAGUAAAGUAUUAACUUGACGUAUUCCAUGAUUUGAGCCUGACAUUAGUCCUAACACAUAAAGAAGUCAUCUAUUGUUUGUUUUACUUCAAAGAAUGACCUCAUUACAAUAUCAAAUAUAAUUCAAUCAGCAGUUUUCUGUGAAUACUGGCUUUCAGGGAUUUCCUUUCGCUUAAACAUUUGCCAGCAUGCAUUAAUACCAAUUAUUGUUGUAGUAAAAGUAAUACUCUGUCGUGUCCUGCCAAAUGCUUUACAGAGAGCUCUAUUAAUGCAAUGGUAAACAGAUGUGCCACCCAACGCCAAAGUUGGAUUUCUCCAGAGGCAUUUCCAUAAAAUACAUUAAAGAAAAAAGGCCUGUGGGUUUUUUUUACAUCACAUUAUGCAGAGGUACUGUACGUAAAGUAUCAAAGAUACUAGAGACACAUUUAAAGCGUGCUCCCAAAGAAUGAAUUACAUAUAGCAGUAAAAGGGAGCCAAUCUGAAUAAAGUCAAUUGAGGUUCAAAUACCAAAAGACCACAUAAUCACCUACAAGUCAAGUCUUUUCUAAGAGCUGUUUAUAACUAACUUACACACUGUAUAAAACGUGCUGCAUGUAUGGCAUGCCCAUGGGUUACCAGAGCACAUUACUGUACUUUGAAACUACUGUAUAUGCAGUUACUCCUGCUGUGUCAACAACUGUUCCCCUGUUAAAGCAAUAAACUAUAUUCCAAGUGUUACUA